GUGGCGCCCCUGGGCCCGCGCUCGUGCGGCCCGCACCGGGACCCGCGCAAGCCGCGGGCCGGGCGGCGCGGGAGGCCCGAAACGCCCCCCACCGGGGAACUUCUCGCAGACUUUUGGGGCUCUCGGGACAGACAGGCCAGGGCGGCCCCGAGCGGCGGCCUUGGCCCCGCAGGUUCUACCAGGAGCCCCAGUGGCCCCGGGGACUGCUCAGGGCUGUUUUGAGGAUGACAUGAGCUCUUGCCACGCAAUAAGCUGCCCAUAAACGUUUGUGUUUACGAGCUCGGGGCCGCCACAUGGCAAGGUCCUGGAAAAGGUCACUUCGGUCUUCACCUGAGUGUCACCCUGGACCCAGCUCCCUCCUGACUCAGCAGCUGCACCCGCAGUGGCAUCAACCAACCAACCGCAGCUGGAGAAGAAACAAAGCCACCUGGGUCUCCCUGGACAUUCCUCAUUACAAACCUCUGCAGUCAUGCUGAAAACCAAAACCCACUGUUCUCAGUGGCUGUUUCUGCCUUCUUGCUGCAAGCCCCACUCGUCCCCACCCCCCGCCCCUGCCACCUUGCUUGCUUCCUCCUUAGCUCUUUCCAAGGAGAGACCUCCCCACCC